rnacentral:lncRNA from 1 species
CCGAGGCCCUGAGGCCCAGGGCGGGGACCAAAAGCCGCGCGCUUGUGACGAUGUCGCUGCGGGGCACGCUAAGGGGCGGAGAGGAAAUUUAGGGCCUGCCUUUUGUACAUUCGGUUAUUCAGCCCAGAAAUAUGUAUUCAACCCCAGGCGCGUGCCUGGCAUUGUGGAAGGCGACACGUGAGGAGAAUUGUGACUGGCCCAGAUGUCACCCCCCCCCAGCCCAGUAGUCAUUCUUCUCUGGAAGUCCUUACCCAUCUCACCUGUUCAUUCUUCAACCCCCAGUUUCCCGACCUUUUUCCUCAAGCCACGCCCUUCCACGCUUUCUUGUCUUUUCUGUGGUGUUCCUUCAGUCUAGAAUAUUCUCCACCUAGUACAAUCCUGCUCCUCCCCUGACAUUCUGCUGAAAUUGCACUCUUCAGCCUUCCCAGCUACCAGGAUGAGACAACUCUACUCAGACCCAAGCACACCAAGCCAGGAAUGCACAAAGGACGGCUGAUGUUUGAGAUAAGAACUGUCUCAAGGACUUUCUAUAAUAACCACACAAGGAAUUCCUCAUGUACGUCACAAGUCUCAUGCGUUUCUCCACCUACGUUUUGCACAUGUGCACACAUUUAUUGAUUUAGAGGCAGGGAUCUUGCUGUGCUGCCCAGACCGGACUCAAAUUCCUGGGCUCAAUCGGUCCUCCUGCCUCAGCCUCUAGAGUAGCUGGGACUCCAGGCAUGCGCCACCCUGUUAUUUCUGUGACCAGGCUUAGCACUAGGCAUUCUUUCGGACGACAGCAAUUCAAAUAAGAUGCUCUCCAAAGAACACUUGCCUAGUAGCGGCAUCUCCAAAAAUAAAUUGAUGCCGCUCCGGCUUUGAGCCUCCAGAACCAAAGAAACCUGUUUCCAGACAGCUUAUGUGAACUUCUACUUUUGGCCAAUAAGAGCUCCCACUUACCCCUGCCCUAUUCAGGUGCACCUGUGGCUUGCCAUAGCCAUAUAGCCAGGUGCACCAUCCUUUUUGCCUGCUCCUGAAUAAAUUAAUUAUAUUAGGAGACAUCUUUCUCUGAUGUCUUUUUUAGGUUAGCAACUCUAAUAUGUUGGAAGAAUACAGGCCAGCUACUUUGUAGAAUGUUCCUCAAUUUGAGUUUGUAUGAUGCUUUCUCAUGAUUAGAUUCAGGUUAUGUAUGUUUUGCAAAAAUACCUCAGAAGUGAUGGCAUCCUUGGUGCGGCAUCCUUGGUGCAUUAUAUCAGGAGGCAAAUGAUGUGGGUUUGUCCCAUUGUUUGUAAUGGUAACAUUGGUUGCUUGGUUAAGGUGAAGGGUGCCAAGCUUCUCCACUGUAAAGUUCCUAUUUUUUUCUCUGUAAUUAAUAAGUAAUUUGUAUGAUACUUUGAGAUAACAAAGUAGACUGUUCAUCAAACUUUCAUCAAUGAAUUUAACAUCCAAAGACGCCUCAAGAAUGAUCAUCAAAAGCAGCCUACUAAUGACUGUCAUUUACCAUUUAAUACAUUUCAAACAGUGCACGUGCUCUGUGACAUAUUCUGGGAAGGAACAUGUUACCUGAUACAUAAUAGGUGAUCAAUAAAUAGUAUUUACUGACAGGUUUCCUUCCUUUGUAGAUAAAUGAAGUUUCUUGUUUCAUGGGGUAUAAUUAGAAGCAUUACUUUAAUUAGCCAUCCUGAUUAUUCUUACUUUGUACCAGCAUCUGCCUCAGUACCUAGUAUAUAUUAGCAAUUCAUUUUUGAAUUAAUAAUGGAAAAUUAUGUACACAAACACACAUACACACCAAGAAAUUAUAUCAAAAGAUUAAUUGUGAUAAUUGAGCAGUUAAUGCUUAACCAAGUGUUUUCACCGAUGCAGGGCAGUCACUGUUAGAACCAGAAAGCUUUUAAAAGAAAAUUAUGAUAAGUCCAACUUAAGCAAAUCAGAUUUUACGUUACAAAAUAAAGUUCAAGAAAAGAAAGGAUUCGAAAGGAAAAAAAUUCGAAAAGGAUCACGUAUGAGAAGCUGCAGUUCCAUGUGUGACCACCAGGUGCCGGAACAAGCUAGGUAGCCACACUAGAAAAACAAACGUCCUCAUCUGGGCUGAAUUUGCAUCUAAUUGCCUCAAAUUGCUUCUGAAACCCAGGAUUUUUUCUGUCACUUUGUCAGUGGAGCUUAGGUAAAGAGGAUUCAGAUCAAACUGAACAUCAGUGCGAAUAGGACAAAUAUAAGUGGCUGGAAAUAUCCUGACAGGAUGGAACUAGGAGAGCCCAGCAACAUGCCUGUGGUGUUCCCGCCAAGGACGCAUGCCCUGCGUCUAAUCUUGAUGAAACCACAGACAAACCAAAAUGGGGACAUUCUGCACGACCACUAGCCUGUGACCUUCAAAAGCACUGAGGUCAUGAAAAUCAAGGAAAGCCUGAGAAACCUUUCCAGGUUAAAGAAGACUAAAGAGACGUGACAACUAAGUAUUAUGCGUGAUUCUGAACUGGAUCAUUUUGCUACAAAAAUAUACUAUUGUGGCCAGGUGUGGUGGUUCUUGCCUGUAAUCCUAGAACUUUG